UAGAGCUUUGUUGUUUUUCACAAAUUUCAGCAACGUUAAAUUAUUAAUUUUUAUAUGCCCGUCUUAAGACAGGACGUAUUAUGUCAUAGGCUUCAUGUCUAUCUGUCAGUCUGUCUUUUCGUGUCCUGCUCAUAACUUCAAUACUAUUAGGCCUUAUAAGGAUUAUCAAACUUUGUCAACCGAUACUUCUUUGGUAGUAGUUUGCUCUGAACUUUAAUAAAGAUGCUAUGGCCAAAUUUGGAAAAAUCCUGUCUGGCUCAUAACUAAAAUCCUGUCCCACUCAUAACGAGAAAACUAUUAGACCUAGAUCUAUCAAACUUGGCAAAAGUAUACAUCUUAGGUAGAAGGUGUGUCACGACCUAUUUCAAGGUCAAUAUGUUACCUUUAAUUUUUAAAUUAGUGAAAUUUAAAUAAAAGUUUUUUAAAUUUUAAAUUUCAUUAUCCUAAAAAUGUAAAAAAUAGAUUUGUAUCCUUAUUAAAAAGUAUUAAAUCAAGUAAAAACAUUUUUUUUUCAUCAUAUACUUUACUUCAAUCUUAAACAAAUUUCAAUAUUAAUGAGAGGAAUUCAGUUUGUCCCAUGUGCAUAAUUACUGUAAACGUGGAAAUUUUGAUGAUGUGCUAAUUUUUACUAUAUUGAAGAUUCUUCUUUUCUCGUCAAAAUUUGCACUUGUCAAACUUCUUAUCAUAUUCAAAGAGACACAACAGACAUUGACCAUUGUACAAUUUACCCCUAAACUUUUAACAUCUUUUUCGUUUGGCAACGACAUCAAAGUCACUGUUAAUUUAUUUUGUAAUUAGUUAAGAAAACAUAGUGAUAUAAAAUCACAUUUUUAAAAACCAUUGAAUCUAAAUUAGUGUAUCAAAUACUGCAAGCGUAAUUUAGCGUAUAUAAUCAUCACACCGUGCUUGACCUUGUUUGUUACCUCAGGCAUUUGACCGCUUAUAAUGAAAUCAAAUAACAAGAGGGCAAUUUAUUUAAUCAAAUCUUACACACAAAAAUAGUUUGUGCAAAAAUUAUAUUUUAGUGAUUCCAACACUGCCUUUGUAUCACUGUGAAUUCAAAGAUUUUAAACUCUAGAUUAAAUAUUUCGUCAAGAUUAACACUCGUCAAUUUUCGUAAACAAAAAAUUGUCAAUUUUUCAACUCGUCAAUAUAAGGACGUUUACAGUAUCAAGCACUGGUCAAGAAGAAUUUUGAUAGCAGAAAGUUGCAUGUCAAAUUAGAGAGAAAUUAAUGAGUUUAGUGUGAGGAGGUAACUAGUAGAUCAUUGGUGUUAUCUAUUUCCCUUGGAUAUUGAGCAAAUGGACAGCCAGCCUAGCUAAAAUAGAUAAAAAAUAGCUCUUGUUCCUAGCUUAAGUUUUAAAAUGAAUUUGAUGAAAAGUAAUUAAAACUUAUUUGAUAUUGCAUAAUAUACUAAUAAUCUGAUAUUAUAUAAUAUUAAUUAAUUAAAAACUAAUUUUAUGGGGUGGGGUUUAAUCAGCAUUUCUACUUGUCCAUAUGAAUUAAAUAUCAAACCUGUCUUGCAUUAAAUCUAAAAAGAAAUCAUGGAGUAUUUUAUAUGUUUUAAAGUGUUUUAGGAUAAAAAGUGCAGAUCCAUUAAUAUUUAGGGAGUAAUGAAUAGACAAGCAUCCAGUUAAAGAUUAAUUAAUGAGUUUAAUGUAGGAAGGCUAUCUGAUCAAGUGCUGCCUAAUAUCUGUAUCCUUUGGGGAUUAGACAGAAAAAUUGCUGGUCAGUUUAUAGCAUACCGGUAUGUCAUUUGAUGGCUAGCCCUUCUUUUCAAAAUUAAUUUGGCAUAGAUUACCGUAAUUUGAUAUUGUUUAUUAUGAUGCCGGCAUUUGACAAAGUCUUACACAAACAGUAUAAUAGUCUCUCAGUUUUGUAAUAUUUGUUAUAAUUAUGCCUACAGCGCAGGGGAUGGAUAAAGAAAUAUUUUUUUAAAAAAUUAAAAAAUCAUGGAAAUCUUAGAAUCAAGGUUGACAUGAUUUUCUUGCACUCUAAACUGUUAAAGAUAAUUGUGUAAUAUUUUGACAGGCGUAUCAUGCUGUGGCGUGGCACUUUAUUGUCAUAGGGUUCAAUAAGCGUUGAUUGGUGACGUCACAACUGCAUCAAAAAAAAAAUUAGAGAAUGUGACGUCGGUGCAGCUUGUAUCCAGAUAACUGUAUUUAAAAGGCAAAAACUUAAAGAAUUGUUUGUGAUUUAUUAGAGAAAAAAAAGGACACUAUAAAUCAGGUAUACUGAUUUUACAGCUGUUACUUUUUAUUUACUGAAAACAACAAGCCGCAACCAAGGCUUAAAAAAAAAGUUUGUUUCCUGUAACAUUCCCAAAAAAUCAAGGGUCAGUAGGUCAGAAAUUCUUUUUUUGCUUAUGAAUGGUGAAACAUCCUUGGAAUGAAAAUAAAUACCAGGUGUUAUAUUUACAGUGGACACCCAACAUGGCAUCCAACAGGGCUGCCAAGCGCAGAAAACAAACUUCAGAAAGUUGUACGGGGAAACUGUUGUUAGAAUAAUGAUUAUUCUUUAUUUUUUAAGGUAAAUAAAAACUAGGUUGACAUAUUUUAUGUCUCAAAUUAAGCUACAAGCUAUUUUUAAAAAUUUAAUUAAUGGAAUCAGCUGAUUACGUAAUCAAACAAAGUUUUGCCAUUUGUCAGAAAAAGAAAAUCCACCCGGGGAUAAUUUGAAUGGGUUUAUCAGGUUGCAGGAAACAAACAAAUAUUUUUUUAGGCCUUAUGUAAGCCACGAUUUCCUCUGAUUUUCUUAACAACAUCAAAGAAUCCAAAUAUAAGUACAUGUAAUAAAAAACGAUUAUAUAUGCCAGCAGAGCUAUUGCUAUUCAUAAUGCCACGUUCACUGAAUAACGUUUAUUUCUUAAAUGGAGGCGUCAUAUUUUACACUUGAUCAAUUUUUUAAAAUUGGCUCAUAGUAAUUUAAAUGAUUCACAUCUGCUCAUUAAAGGCCUUACACAAUUGAAGUUCCAUAUAUACGAGAGUUGUCCCAAAAAGUCGUAGACAAUGUUUAUAAUUUUUUAAACAUGCAACCAUUACCAUGAUUAUAUUUUAACCUCAACAGGACUCAAAAUCAGUUCGCUAUAUCCGUAAAUUUGUUAUAUCAGAGUUCGUUAUACCAGUCAGGGGUGUGAUUGAAAUCCAUCAUUUUUAAAAAUGAUGAUUUUCAGUCAUUAAAUUGAUUUUUAAUAAUGAUGGAAAUUCAUCUUUUUUUUAGUAAAAUGAUGAAAAACAGUCAUUUCUAUUUUGAAAUUUAUUUUAGAAAUAGAGUUAUCUCUGAUUUUAAAAAUGACUGUUUUUCAUCAUUUUUUAUCAAAUUGUUAGGUCUGGGCGCACUUAAUUAUCUAAUUAGUUUUACGGGGCGCACUAAAUUAUUUUGGUUUCAAUUACUUGUCAAGAUGAUUCUCUACACAAGGGUCUAUGGCAGGAUAGUGUACUAUAUCUAAUUACUGGAGUAAAUGGGAUGGGAAAAUUGACUUGAGAAUGGAAAUAUGAUGAAAAGACAUCAUAUUUACAAAAAUCAGAAAAUUGUGUACAUUAUAUACUUAGAAGAAAUGACCAUUAUCCAUCAUUUUCAAAAAUGACUGAUUUCAGUACCACCCCUGUGUUAUAACCGUAAAAUUUUACAAAGAUUUGUUGAGAAUUUUGUUUGCCAGGGACCAAGAAAAAACUUUGCUAUAUCCAUGAGUUUGCUAAUAUAUCCGUGUUCAUACUAAACGAGUUUUACUGUUAGUAUAAAAUAAAUUUAAUUAAUGAGAAUUCUCAAUCAUUUUACUAUUCAAAAGAUGAGAAUUAAAGACUGAAUUUUUAUUUUUUUUUCAUUUUAUAUAUACAGUACACAUAUACUCACUAAUUGGGGGCUCGAUCAUGUAAUGAAUUAAAGGAUAGGAGCAUUACAUGGAGACUUGUUAAGUGGGCCACAAUGACUCCGGUGGCUCCGGAGGAUACCCCUGCCUUUGAGCAGAUAAUACAAUUAAUGGAUACUUGAACUGACAUCUUAAACAUUAUAUUUCUUUUGAAUAAAAUUGUGUUCAUAUCUAGAUUACAAUAUUAUCAAUAAAAUGUUACAUAGGAAAGGGAUAUUCAACAUUAUUUCUUCUAUGAGGCCUGGAAAUUAGAAACACCUACUGGGAAAUUAUGUUACCUGGCAAUUUUAGGAAAAUAAACUAAUUUUAAAAAAAUUUGAACUUCAAUUUAACUACCACUUCGAGGAAAGAUCUAUUUUGACUAAUAUUUUGUCAUCAGGAAGACUUGAUGUUUUUAAAAUCUUUUUUGUUCAUUUGCUUUAAGCAUGUUAAGCCAACACCAUUCUUGUUUUAUGCAAAAGCACGAUUUUGUUUUAAUGCAUUUGAAAAUUGAACACACUGUUGAUAGUCACUGUAUAAAUUCUUUCAAUCAAUUAUACUUUGUGUCUAAACCCGGUUGUCUAGAAGCAAUUCUAGCAAAUGGAUGGGUUUUAUACUUAUCAAUAUUUUGGUUUCAAAUUCCAAAUUGAAUUACUGUAAUUAAAUGUUUAUGUGUAACUUAUUUGAAUUGCAAGAAUGAAAAAAAAAUUCCAGGCAGCUGUUAAAAAAACUACUUUUUUUUAAAAUCUGACAACUCAAAUAAAUACUCGGUAAAUAUACAUUGAUUUAAACAUUACUUAGAAAUAGAUCAUUCUUAGAUUGUGUUAAAAUAUGGAAUUUUCCUUAUCUAUUCAAGAUGCUGAAUAUGCUAGCUAACAUCUUAAAUUUUAGAAAAAUAAAUUUUCAUUUUAAAGAACUUCAGUGACCCUCUUCCCCUCCAAAGGUGUCAGUUUAAUAUAUCUCGCAAAUUGGGGGA